rnacentral:tRNA from 1 species
GCCCCUAUAGCUCAGUUGGCAGAGCUGAGGACUUUUAAUCCUUAGGUCGUGGGUUCGAGUCCCACUGGGGGCA